ACCGGACAGUACAUUGGUUUGUGUACUGCUUUGUUGGUUAAAGACUUUUUGAAGUAAAGAGGAGCAUCUCAUCUGAACCUGAUGUAUAUCAUGGAUAUUUAACUGCAGUUCUGUGAGUAUCCCAACUUAACCAUGAAGCAUAACUGCAAACUGUAAGUCAUUAAUUUCUCAUUACUCUUGGGCACAUUGAUGUAUUUUGGCUUCCUGGUGAGUUAACCUGUUUAAUGAAGGUUGAUCUGAGUUGUAAGGAUGUUUUAUUGGUUCAUGGGUUACUUAGGUGUUUGGUUUAUGUUGGUUUUAAUGAUUUGUUAAAAUGGUUAGACUCCAAGUUAUUGUUGUAAGCUGGAGUAAUGGGUUGGGUUCUGAUAUCUUCAGUCUUUUCAUUCUACUCUCCUGAGCUCUGCAUCUUCAUCACAUGAGUGUUGCUUUACUAAUGAGGUUGUGGUCUGAGUGAGCAGAGGUGCAUACUGGGAUACAGAGCUGUCUGAAGUCUACAGGUCUGUAGACACGCCCCCUCAGGGGAAACCGAGUGUUUGAGAAACUUUGGUGACGUCAGUUACAUGGACUGGAAUGUUCUUAAAGAUGGAGACAGGGAUUCAGAAAGAGAAACAGCAGGGGGAGAUGAGGGGGCUCCUCAUCUCAACGACUAAAACACAACUUCACUCUGACAUAGAGAACCAUGGAACACAUUCAACAGUCCUCUCCAGGCAUCGUGACUCCUCAGGAACAGUUUCAUUUCCAAGAAGGUCUUAUUUGGGGCCAUCCCCAUAUGGAUCCUGCUCCUCAAGAGCCACCCCCCUCCACUGGGUGGUCGUCUGAACAGAUGACCUCCUUCCUGUCCUCAGGCUGACUAAAGCUACAACGUUUGCAUCUGUGAAGGCCCCUCUUUCAGGAAAUCACUGGACUACAAAGACAUGACUUCAGAGAUGUUGAAUCAACCUGGACACAUUUUGGAGACGCCAAGCAUAAUCCAUCACCAAUGUGGGACGCCACUGAAGAAUGUUGUACAUAAUUUACGUCUCUUCGAGACAUUGGUUGUUCUGUUAUGGGUGCCCUGGCAGGAGCGCUGGGGGGGGGGGCGGUGAUGGAAUGCUAUUUGGCAUGAGGGUUUUUACCCUGCAUGAUUGUUUGGACUUUUAUGACUCAGUGGUGUGUGUGUGAGUGUGUUUGGGUUUGACAUGAGAUGGAAGAUUUUUGAGCAUUGCUAGGGUUCUACUGUGUGUGUGUGUGUCUCCCACUCACACCUGGCAUGGGGUUCUACGUGCCUGUCCUGGGUUCUAUGUGUGUGUGUGUGUCCGGCUUGCUUUGACAGUGAUAAUGUUCAUACGGGGGUCUGUGUGAUUGGCUUGGGAUAUUGGAAUGGUCAACUAAAUUAUACCUGAUGGACGGCCACACGUUUACUUAAGGGCCUCCAGUAGACAUGAAGAGCCCUGAGCGACGCUCCGGAGCGAUAUCCAACACACUGGACAGGAAGGAGAGUAUCCAACUCAAGUGUAAAAGGAUGCAAGCGGCGUGUUCAGAUCAGUGACUUCAAACUAGGACUACACCAAUCAGGAUCAAUGGAGGAUGGACACCAAAAGGAAUUCCACAAGGAGAGUCUGACGUUGGAAAGGGACCUAAAUGGAUAUUCAAGAUGACCUUCAGACCUGUAAUGAGACGGCUCUUCCUACUUGGCUGGAUUGAUGGAGAGCCCUGUGGAUCUUGUCUUGCUCUCAGUUGCACGUCUUCUCAGGCUGAACUGUAUUUGUUUCGGACAGGACUAGUUGAACGAUCGGUUCCCUUAAAUCAGAACCAAUCCGGGAACUCCAGCUAGUGCGCUCUUCGAGCUGAAGUUGUGCUCUUCAGCUGAGGAGGUAAUGAAACCUUCACUGGGGCUUCAAGUUGUAAAGAGGAGAAUGUUUCAAAGUGUUCCAUGGUACUCUGAAGACCGUUGUUGUGUUCCACUGGCUGAGAGGAAGAACCCACACAUCUUCCUCUUGGCCUUUCUCCUCUUAGAAUCCUGGCGCCAUCUUGAAGGAUAUUCCAGCUCAUGUAACUGAUGUCACGACAGAUUCUCAAACACUUGGUUUCUCCUGAGGGGUGUGUCUAUGGAACUGAAGACUUCAGACAGCACUGUAUCCCAGCAUGCAUCUCUGCUCACUCAGACCACACCCCCAUGAGUAGGAUGCAACACUCUAGUGAUGGUGAUGUAGAGUUUUAUAGGUAACGAGGGAGCAGACUAAGGUGAUUGGAACACAAUGGAAUGUCAAGUUUGUAAAUCUUUAAACAAUGAAGAUGGUUGCAUAGUGCAGGAAUAUGGCUUAUUUUUAUUAUGGACAGUCCUUUCACUCGGAUGCCCACUUCUCACUGGAGCUGUACAUGUGUUGGCUGGCUGGCAUGAUUUGCUGUUGGUGAUGAGGCAGUCAGGGUGACGUUGCAGGGCUAUGGUCGGCUCUCUGUGAGCUCAACGUUUAGAUUUGCUCUGUAUGGUUUGUACCCUGAAUAAUCUAGAUAAUUGUAAAAUGUAGACACGGUUUUGUAUUGAAUGACUCUAGGAUUUUAGUUUUAAAGUUGUCGUGGGACGUACAUGGUAGUUUGUUUUCUUCGUAUGGUUUUGAGUGAUAACUUGUACACACUGGGUGCAUAAUAAUGUGGAGGUACACUGAAUAGUACUAAUGACCAACAGCAACAAACAGAUCUCCUCAAGGUAAGUCUGUUGGCUGUGUUUUAAUGAAGACCAUCGCUGGACUUCAGGAUCUUCCUUCGUUCAGCUCAAGGUGAGGUGCUGGUUCUGUUAUUUUCUUUGGUUGGUUCCGGCCGGAAUGUUCGGAUUCCAGUCGGACGGUUUGUGCUUCCCGCCGUGGAAGGUUCUGAGUGCGGUCACUUGAUUUAGUCCCAAUGGUUAGCAUAGAACGUUGUAGUCUUGACAUUGACAACCAUAAGAAACCAUCUGGCAGUUAGUUGGACGGGAGUCCCCUGAGGGAAUCUGGCGGAACGUUCUGGAUUGUAUUUGCGUAACCUCGAGCCGUUGCCAACGGAAACUAUUUUUCAGUCGGUUUCCAUCGGGAAUUGUUGCCCCUAUCUUAAACAACUUAAGUUUGAUAUUAAAUACAUACUGACACGUACGUCGUACAAUAUGUUGAUUUCCGAUGGUUGCGCCGUAUUUUUAACCACGAUGAUGUGAUGGGACUCUCACUGCGUACAAAACAGCGUUCUACUUGCGGGCCCAUUUUUGACAUCAGGGAAGGCUGAAAAUCAUUUCAAGGAGGAAGAUAAUUUGACAUUUCUUCAUGGAACCCAGCACCUGAAUAUGGCUGAGUAUAUUUGAUUUAAUAUCGAUACUGCUUAGUGUUCUUUGUUACUUCAGCUUUUGUACGUUCUAAAUAUCUGCUGUCAUUAAUUGCUACAGAAGUUAAACCCUACCCAAUGGAAUGACGUUAAACAACGACUUUGGUGCAGAGUUACCAACUAGAUAAUAUCAAAGCUAAAAUAAUGGCCGUCAUUCCCACAUGUUACAGUAGAAGAUACUCUAGAACUGUACAAGGUUAAAAAGGUAACAUGUAGUUUGUUCCAAGGUGUCUGCCUCCUCACCUAGAGUAAGACCUCCACCUCCUCACCCGGAGCCGGACCUCCACCUUCUGUCAGAAGUCCUCCAGAACAGAUGAGAGGCUGGGGACCGGAGGCUUGUGGAGCCAGGGUGGACCGGAGACUGAGGCUGGAGACCAGGGGUCUGCAGCACCGGACCAGGGGGUAACCAUCACCAAGCUCAUCUGAAACACUAAAAUCCACGACCAGGACUGUCUGAGGAGAGCUGCUGGAGGAGCUGAGACGCUGGAGGACGACUAGGAAUCGACCAACAAGGAUUCCUCAACGUGUUUCUGGAGCGGAGGCGAUCUGGUAGGGGAGCCGGGAAUCUGGAGGAUGACCAUCACUCUACCAACAAGGAUUACUUUAGGGCCAGACUCGCGCUGUUUGUUCCAGACCAGGACUCUGGCUGAGGAGAGCUGAUUGAGGAGCCAAGACUCGAGCCAAGAGGACAACAUCACUCCACCAACCAGGAUCCUCAGACGAAUUACGUUUGUAACCAGACCAGGAAUCUGGAGGACUGAUGGAGAAGCCGUACAUCUGGAAGGCAAAUCCUGAGGACCACCAGGACUCUACCAUCAAGGAUUCCUCAUAAGUUUGCAUUAUCUGGACAUAGUGGACUAGACACACCUGAGCUGAACCUCACCUGAUCCUGUUUGGUCGGGGGUAGACGCACCUGAGCUAAACCCGCCCUGAUCCUGACAUCCUGCUGGUCCCGUCUCCUCAGUUCAUAUGAGCCUCGUCCUCCAGAAGACCUGCUGAGCUCAGCAGUCUGAGGCUGAUGGAUCAAUGACCUCCAGUGGGAGUGAUCUUCUUGACCCCACAUGUAACCGUGUGCUUCCACACGCCUUUCCCUCACGUCUGUCACUAACCUCACUACUUCACUACUCUCUACUGCUUCCUCUUUUCUUCCUUCUCUGUGGUUCAAACCUUUACACUGAAGGCGCGUCUUCCUGCCCUCAGAGGGUUUAGCGUUAGGGUUGAGAGUCAGGGUUUAGAGUCAGGGACAGAGCUGGUCAGGGAGGACUGCUUUUACACAAACCUCUUCACUUGCUUUUGGAAUGGUGGUGACAUUUUGAAAAGAUUUGGGAAAAUGUUUCCCUCUGCUUUCCUUUACAAAAUUGUAUUCAACUUCUGUCAAGUGUUUUUGUUUAUAUAUUAAAAUCCCACAUUGACUUCUACAUGUUUGGUGCGGUUCAUUUAAUUGUCCUUUAACUUGGUUAAUGUCAAGCUAAACUCCUGCAAUACAUUUAAUAUACAUGAUUGUUAUUCAGCAAUGUUCACAUAAUCCAUUUUG